rnacentral:rRNA from 1 species
GAUGAACGCUGGCGGCGUGCCUAAUACAUGCAAGUCGAGCGAACGGACGAGAAGCUUGCUUCUCUGAUGUUAGCGGCGGACGGGUGAGUAACACGUGGAUAACCUACCUAUAAGACUGGGAUAACUUCGGGAAACCGGAGCUAAUACCGGAUAAUAUUUUGAACCGCAUGGUUCAAAAGUGAAAGACGGUCUUGCUGUCACUUAUAGAUGGAUCCGCGCUGCAUUAGCUAGUUGGUAAGGUAACGGCUUACCAAGGCAACGAUGCAUAGCCGACCUGAGAGGGUGAUCGGCCACACUGGAACUGAGACACGGUCCAGACUCCUACGGGAGGCAGCAGUAGGGAAUCUUCCGCAAUGGGCGAAAUCCUGACGGAGCAACGCCGCGUGAGUGAUGAAGGUCUUCGGAUCGUAAAACUCUGUUAUUAGGGAAGAACAUAUGCGUAAGUAACUGUGCACAUCUUGACGGUACCUAAUCAGAAAGCCACGGCUAACUACGUG